rnacentral:rRNA from 1 species
AAAAGUGAAAGACGGUCUUGCUGUCACUUAUAGAUGGAUCCGCGCUGCAUUAGCUAGUUGGUAAGGUAACGGCUUACCAAGGCAACGAUGCAUAGCCGACCUGAGAGGGUGAUCGGCCACACUGGAACUGAGACACGGUCCAGACUCCUACGGGAGGCAGCAGUAGGGAAUCUUCCGCAAUGGGCGAAAGCCUGACGGAGCAACGCCGCGUGAGUGAUGAAGGUCUUCGGAUCGUAAAACUCUGUUAUUAGGGAAGAACAUAUGUGUAAGUAACUGUGCACAUCUUGACGGUACCUAAUCAGAAAGCCACGGCUAACUACGUGCCAGCAGCCGCGGUAAUACGUAGGUGGCAAGCGUUAUCCGGAAUUAUUGGGCGUAAAGCGCGCGUAGGCGGUUUUUUAAGUCUGAUGUGAAAGCCCACGGCUCAACCGUGGAGGGUCAUUGGAAACUGGAAAACUUGAGUGCAGAAGAGGAAAGUGGAAUUCCAUGUGUAGCGGUGAAAUGCGCAGAGAUAUGGAGGAACACCAGUGGCGAAGGCGACUUUCUGGUCUGUAACUGACGCUGAUGUGCGAAAGCGUGGGGAUCAAACAGGAUUAGAUACCCUGGUAGUCCACGCCGUAAACGAUGAGUGCUAAGU